rnacentral:rRNA from 1 species
CCAGACUCCUACGGGAGGCAGCAGUGAGGAAUAUUGGUCAAUGGGCGGGAGCCUGAACCAGCCAAGCCGCGUGAGGGAAGAAGGUACAGCGUAUCGUAAACCUCUUUUGUCAGGGAACAAAGGCGGGGACGUGUCCCCGGAUGAGUGUACCUGAAGAAAAAGCAUCGGCUAACUCUGUGCCAGCAGCCGCGGUAAUACGGAGGAUGCGAGCGUUAUCCGGAUUUAUUGGGUUUAAAGGGUGCGCAGGCGGUCUGUUAAGCCGGCGGUAAACGCCGGUGGCUCACCCCCGGCCCGCCGUUGAAACUGGCAGUCUCGAGUUGGAGAGAAGUAUGCGGAAUGCGCGGUGUAGCGGUGAAAUGCAUAGAUAUCGCGCAGAACUCCGAUUGCGAAGGCAGCAUGCCGGCUCCACACUGACGCUGAGGCACGAAAGCGUGGGUAUCGAACAGGAUUAGAUACCCCCGUACGG